UUGAAAGGGAAACGAUUGAAGUCAGUCGUACCUGUGGGUAAUCAGCCUUUUGGGUGUGAUUUUGUGGAGUGUGAGGAGUUAAACGCCUUCAUGCCUGCAUAUUCGUGCACUUUGGGUGUAUUUACCCGUGUGGUAAGUUAACAUCAAUUUCGGUGAUCAUAAAAUGGCUGGAGGAAUGUAGCUUCGAUCUUGUAUUGAAGUGUUAUAGCCUUCGGUAGAUGUGAUUAUCGGGAUUGAGGAUUGCAACGGAUACCCUUCGGGGCUACCUGUCUGAUCUCUGAUCGUUGCUCUGGUGCCGAAAGCUUGCUUACGGUUAUCAAAGUCGAUGGUCAAUAGGUUAGAACGGGUUAAAUUCGUUAAGGAUGUUGACGUA
rnacentral:rRNA from 1 species